GCGCAACCCUGAUCCACCCAUCCCGCGUGAGUGAAGAAGGCCCUCGGGUUGUUAAAGUUUUUUUGUCCGGAAAGAAAAGCAAUCGGGUUAAAUACCUCGGUGUUCUGACGGUACCGGAAGAAUAAGCACCGGCUAACUUCGUGCCACCAGCCGCGGUUAAUACGAAGGGUGCAAGCGUUACUCGGAAUUACUGGGCGUAAAGCGUGCGUAGGUGGUUCGUUAAGUCCGAUGUGAAAGCCCUGGGCUCAACCUGGGAAUGGCAUUGGAUACUGGCGGGCUAGAGUGCGGUAGAGGAUAGUGGAAUUCCUGGUGUAGCAGUGAAAUGCGUAGAGAUCAGGAGGAACAUCCGUGGCGAAGGCGACUGUCUGGACCAGCACUGACACUGAGGCACGAAAGCGUGGGGAGCAAACAGGAUUAGAUACCCUGGUAGUCCACGCCCUAAACGAUGCGAACUGGAUGUUGGGCUCAACUUGGAGCUCAGUAUCGAAGCUAACGCGUUAAGUUCGCCGCCUGGGGAGUACGGUCGCAAGACUGAAACUCAAAGGAAUUGACGGGGGCCCGCACAAGCGGUGGAGUAUGUGGUUUAAUUCGAUGCAACGCGAAGAACCUUACCUGGCCUUGACAUGCUCGGAACUUUCCAGAGAUGACACCGCCUUCGGAACCAAAACAGUUAAAA
rnacentral:rRNA from 1 species